CCUACGGGUGGCUGCAGUGGGGAAUAUUGCACAAUGGGCGCAAGCCUGAUGCAGCCAUGCCGCGUGUGUGAAGAAGGCCUUCGGGUUGUAAAGCACUUUCAGCGGGGAGGAAGGCGGUGAGGUUAAUAACCUCAUCGACUGACGUUACCCGCAGAAGAAGCACCGGCUAACUCCGUGCCAGCAGCCGCGGUAAUACGGAGGGUGCAAGCGUUAAUCGGAAUUACUGGGCGUAAAGCGCACGCAGGCGGUCUGUCAAGUCGGAUGUGAAAUCCCCGGGCUCAACCUGGGAACUGCAUUCGAAACUGGCAGGCUAGAGUCUUGUAGAGGGGGGUAGAAUUCCAGGUGUAGCGGUGAAAUGCGUAGAGAUCUGGAGGAAUACCGGUGGCGAAGGCGGCCCCCUGGACAAAGACUGACGCUCAGGUGCGGAAGCGUGGGGAGCAAACAGGAUUAGAUACCCGUGUAGUC
rnacentral:rRNA from 1 species